UCAGGUGUUAGCUGAGGUGAAGAAGAGGGAAUUGGAGAGGAGCACUGGCUUGAGAUUUGGGUCCAUGGGUUAUAUUUCUUACUGUUUUUACUGCUAUGAACUAAGAUAUGAUCCUUAGGAUAAUGUGUGGUUGAGACUGUGAGCUGGUUUUCUGUUCAUUAAAUGAGGUGACAGCUUGCUGGCAGCCACAUAGGGCAGAUGACUGUACCUUGCCAUGUGUUUAUGGAGAACUUGUCUGGGGUAUCUGAUGUGUUGUAGGCUAUGUGACUUAGGAAAAUUCAGACUCAGACUCCACUGAAGAAUUCUUGGAGAACCUGAAUCGAUUGAAGAGCUUUAAGAGAACAGCAAAAAGUGGAGAGAAGAUACUAUCUGAGGACUCAGACCUGGGAUAAGGAUUGAAUGGACAGUUUCUCUUCACAUUGACAUUUGCAGUGUCACUCCAAAUUCUUGCUACUACAUGUCCAUCAUUUCAGCUAGCUAAAUUCCUUCAGGAUCGCUUGUUACUUCUUCAGAAAUAGAGCCUGUCAGGAUGCAUACUUGUUUAUGUCUCUAACAACAUGAGCAUGGCAAGGACAGCCAGAAAAUGCAAAAUAAAUCGCAGGGGAGAAGCUGAUGUUUUAUUACAAAAAGCAAUACCCUCCACCCAUACGGAAGCAACACAUAAACCUCUUAAAACUGCAUUUUGGGAUACUGCCUGCAAAGAAGAAAGUUAGCAUUCAGUCCUGAAAAUGGAAAAUAGCUGUGUUUGGUUGUAUGGAAACAGUUACAUGGAUACAUAAUAUCCAGGAAAUUUUUAAACAUCAGCAUUUUUGGGUCUUGGAAGAAAUACAGUAAUUUCCAGCCUCUCUGUUAAUUCUGCUCCUGUAUUCUCAUAAUCCAUCAAAUGUGGUAUGGCCUAUAAACAAUAGCAACAAUGA